UCCAUAUCAGCUAAAUAUAACAUUAGUAUAGUUUAUCAGGAUUGUUUAGCUACAUUCAUUAUCGUACACAUCUCUUGGUAGCUUACAAACAAAGUCAUACUCGAAGUCUAUAACCUCAAACCUUAGAUACAUGUAUUAACAAGUGUGUAGCUCUCAUGAGACUUACAUUUAAAUGUCUCGAUCAUGCAAUUAUGAUACCUCAUGAUUCAUGUCCUUUCUAUCAAACCAUAUCCUAAUCUUAAGGCCUACGCUGGUGUAAGAAAUUGGACGCAAAAUGCAUGCUCCAUCCCAUUAAGUAGGGUGUUUUCUACUGUACAAUCUAAUUUUUCUUAGGCCAUGAUUCAAUAAUGGUCAUCGUAAUUAACCACCACGGGUUGUAAUUAACCACCACGGGUUGCUGCACAUCUUAUAGUUGAUUCUUGGUGCUAGUGAAUCAUAUGUUGGUGGCCAAGGGAAGACUGAAAUGCAUCUAUGAGUCUUCUUAGCCCUCAAAAUGGUAGACUACCGUGACGAAGCCACCAAUUGAUCCCUUUUAAAAAAUAAAUAAAAGGUCAUCAUAAUUGAAAAACAAUUAAUCAAUAAGUAUGGCUGCUAAGAGUACUGGUAUUGGCACUGUAAUGAAUUUCUUGUGUACUUAACAAUUUCUACAUUUAGAAAUAAAAAUACAAGCUCGAAUACAUAUCACUCAGUGAUACAGGUGUACCCAUUGUGAAGAUUCAUUAAAUCCUCAAAAUGUAAAAAUUAACCAUUGAUUUUUCAAACCACUUAGUGGUACAUACAUACCAUGAAAGAAAAAUUGUAAAAUUAUAUUUAGGAAAAAUUAGUAUCCGAUCCCUAGUUUUUACUAUUCAUUGACUAAGACCUUAUUAGUUCUCAAAUUUUGAUUCAAGUCCCUAUCAUUAAUGUGAUAAUGAAUUUACAUGUUUAUUAUAUAAUUUUUUUAAUAUAAAAAUUAGUAAUUAAUUUAGGGUUUAAUACUCACACCUCUAUUGAACUUCUAAUAAGUUUGUACCUAUUAGUCUUUACUAUUCAUUGACUAAGACCUUAUUAGUUCUCAAUUUUUUA
rnacentral:lncRNA from 1 species